CGCUGGCGGCAUGCUUUACACAUGCAAGUCGAACGGCAGCACGGGCUUCGGUCUGGUGGCGAGUGGCGAACGGGUGAGUAAUAUAUCGGAACGUACCCAAGAGUGGGGGAUAACGUAGCGAAAGUUACGCUAAUACCGCAUACGAUCUAAGGAUGAAAGUGGGGGAUCGCAAGACCUCAUGCUCCUGGAGCGGCCGAUAUCUGAUUAGCUAGUUGGUGAGGUAAAGGCUCACCAAGGCGACGAUCAGUAGCUGGUCUGAGAGGACGACCAGCCACACUGGAACUGAGACACGGUCCAGACUCCUACGGGAGGCAGCAGUGGGGAAUUUUGGACAAUGGGCGCAAGCCUGAUCCAGCAAUGCCGCGUGAGUGAAGAAGGCCUUCGGGUUGUAAAGCUCUUUUGUCAGGGAAGAAACGGUAGGAGCUAAUAUCUCUUGCUAAUGACGGUACCUGAAGAAUAAGCACCGGCU
rnacentral:rRNA from 1 species